UUAACACAUGCAAGUCGAACGAAGACAACUACCUUGCUUGCAAGAGAGUUGACUUAGUGGCGGACGGGUGAGUAACGCGUGGGUAACCUGCCUCAUACAGGGGGGAUAACAGUUGGAAACGACUGCUAAGACCGCAUAACCCGCUAGUGUCGCAUGACACGGACGGAAAAUAUUUAUAGGUAUGAGAUGGGCCCGCGUCUGAUUAGCUAGUUGGUAAGGUAACGGCUUACCAAGGCGACGAUCAGUAGCCGACUUGAGAGAGUGAUCGGCCACAUUGGGACUGAGACACGGCCCAAACUCCUACGGGAGGCAGCAGUGGGGAAUAUUGGACAAUGGGGGAAACCCUGAUCCAGCGAACCGCCGCGUGAGUGAAGAAGUAUUUCGGUAUGUAAAGCUCUAUCAGCAGGGAAGAUAAUGACAGUACCUGACUAAGAAGCCCCGGCUAACUACGUGCCAGCAGCGGC
rnacentral:rRNA from 1 species